CGUGAAACCGUUCAGGGGUAAACCUGAGAAACCCAAAAGAUCGAAUGGGGAGAUUCAUCGUUCAGCGGCGCUGGCUUCCGUGCGGCUCGCGAUGGCCGUGGCCUCGGUCACGCGUCACGCGGUCGCUGCGGCAUGCCCGGCGUCGUCGGCGUGCACUUCUCCCCUAGUAGGACGUCGCGACCCGUUGGGUGCCGGCCAACGGCCCGGUUGGUCGACUGUCGCGCAGGCGUUUACGCGUCGGCGCGGCAGACCACCGGUCGCCCGGACGGCUGCUCGGCGGUAUGAAUUAUUCAUAAUCACGGUAAUGGGCCGCACUUGCGUGCGUUCAGGCUCGUCGGCAGGCUCGUCUCGCUCGGAUUUACGGACCUGGUGCCGUUGCCGAGCGCUUGGCGCGGCCGUUUCAGCCGGCGAUGUCCUCGGACGGGCUCGAAUUGCUCUCGGGCAAUUAUUAGAAAAUACCGGUCGGCGACGCUACUGCUUUGGGUACUUUCAGGACCCGUCUUGAAACACGGACCAAGGAGUCUAACAUGUACGCGAGUCAUUGGGACUUUGAACUAAGCCUAAAGGCGCAAUGAAAGUGAAGGUCCGCCUUAGCGCGCGACCGAGGGAGGAUGGCUCGCGUCACGAUGCGAGCUCGCACUCCCGGGGCGUCUCGUGCUCAUUACGAGCUGAGGCGCACCCAGAGCGU
rnacentral:rRNA from 1 species